AUGGCACUGCUUUCGGCCAUUAUAGACUGUACAUCCAGUAGGCGAGAUCGUGCACAGCAAUCUUUCACACCACACGCUUGUAUAGAAUUUUGCAAACCAUGUCUAGCUAUCACUAAUACUUUUGUCAACUAUUUUAGUGACAUUGGAAGACCUUUUCUCAAUACUCACUUGCCUGUCAACUCUUUGGAUCCUACUUAUUUUCUGCCUGAUAAAAAUGAAGUUUUGCAGAUUCUUAAAGAGAUGAAGUUGAACGCUUCUCCAGGUCCGGAUGGUUUUAAUGUGGAAUUUUAUUUGGCUGCUUGGGAUUGGAUAGGGGAGGAGGUCACUCAACUUGUGAUUAACUUUUAUCAAACUGGUAUUUUACCUCCCCACAUUAAUGAUACCAAUAUUGCUUUAAUCCAAAAGAAGUUAGUUCCUCAGGUUCCUAUGGAUUAUCGUCCC
rnacentral:rRNA from 1 species